rnacentral:rRNA from 1 species
AUACGGAGGGGGCUAGCGUUGUUCGGAAUUACUGGGCGUAAAGCGCAUGUAGGUGGUGUGGCAAGUUAGAGGUGAAAGGCCUGGGCUCAACCUGGGAACUACCUUUAAUACUGUCACGCUAGAGUUCGGGAGAGGGUAGCGGAAUUCCAAGUGUAGAGGUGAAAUUCGUAGAUAUUUGGAAGAACACCGGUGGCGAAGGCGGCUACCUGGACCGACACUGACACUGAGAUGCGAAAGCGUGGGGAGCGAACAGGAUUAGAUACCCUAGUAGUCC